UACGUAGGGUGCGAGCGUUGUCCGGAAUUAUUGGGCGUAAAGGGCUCGUAGGCGGUUUGUCGCGUCGGGAGUGAAAACUCAGGGCUUAACCCUGAGCCUGCUUCCGAUACGGGCAGACUAGAGGUAUGCAGGGGAGAACGGAAUUCCUGGUGUAGCGGUGAAAUGCGCAGAUAUCAGGAGGAACACCGGUGGCGAAGGUGGUUCUCUGGGCAUUACCUGACGCUGAGGAGCGAAAGUGUGGGGAGCGAACAGG
rnacentral:rRNA from 1 species